AUUGAACGCUGGCGGCAGGCCUAACACAUGCAAGUCGAGCGGUAACAGAACUAGCUUGCUAGUUGCUGACGAGCGGCGGACGGGUGCGUAACACGUAGGAAUCUGCCCGGUAGUGGGGGAUAGCCCGGAGAAAUCCGGAUUAAUACCGCAUACGUCCUACUCUUUUUCGGAAGAGGGGGGAAAGCAGGGGAAUCUUCGGAUCCUUGCGCUAUCGGAUGAGCCUGCGUCGGAUUAGCUAGUUGGUAGGGUAAAGGCCUACCAAGGCAACGAUCCGUAGCUGGUCUGAGAGGAUGAUCAGCCACACUGGGACUGAGACACGGCCCAGACUCCUACGGGAGGCAGCAGUGGGGAAUAUUGCACAAUGGGCGCAAGCCUGAUGCAGCCAUGCCGCGUGUGUG
rnacentral:rRNA from 1 species